CGAAGCUUAUUUUCUAUUUAUUAAAAUUGUAUAUAUUGUUAUGCUAGGCUCUAUUAGCUUAGGUUAAGAUAUAUUGAGCUCAGUUGGAUUAGGUUAUAGUGGGUUGAGCUAGGUUAGGUUUCAACAAGCCACAAUGUAGGACUGAGAUGUUACACAAUGUAGUAACCGAUGUUACUUCGCCCACAGGUUUAUAAACUCAUGGAACCGCCUACCCGCCGAAGUCGUAAAUGCCAAAAAAAAAUUUAACAUUUAAAGUACAGCUGGAAAAGAUCAAGACAAAUGGGGGAGGGGAACCUUCGACAAACCGCCGGCUUCCUGUCCUCAUCGGGACCACUAGUGUUAUUGGCUCUCAGAAGGAUCAUCAAAAGAAUGAUGAAGCAGAACUGAUAGGGAGCAACCAAGUGUAGUAGCAGAAAAAGGUCUUCAGCUCAAAAUCAUAGCAAGCUAAGGGUGAAAGGGCAGCUGGUCUUCCCAACAAAGAAGUAAUGUGGAAGGUACCUUGGUCAACAAAAGUCAGUUCACCCAGGGCAGUUCAGAACUCGACUUGCUCCAGCGGAAACAAGUGGGCCAAGUCGGUGAAGACUGUGAAUUGUCUGUGAUAACCAGUUAAGUACAAUAUUUGUGAUUGGACCAAUGUAUCCUGGGAUGGCCCAGUUGUUUUUAGAUGGAAUUAAUGUCUGUCUGUCCUCUAAGUUAAGGCUUUUUAUAGGUGAAGCCUUUAGGGAAAGCCAGCUAGUGUGUUGCUGGAGACCAGCUAGUGUGUUGCUGGAGACCAGCCAGCAUGUUGCUGGAGAGUCAAAAGGGGUAUUUUGACACUGUGGAGGAAUAGCCCAUGAUUUACUGAGAAAGGUGGACGCGCCAGCAUGAGUACCAUAG